UCGGUCCCCCUGUCGGGCGCGGAGUGUCCCUUAAGCUGUGAAAGAAUGAGGAUGAGCUUUGGGUUGACUUUCAGGACAGCAAAAGGCCGCUGGGUGGCGAACCUCAGCCAGCAGUGCUCAUACGAAUCCACUGGGUUAUUUGUGCCACCGAGUCCUCCUCUGGACUCUGAGAAGGUCAAAGAGUUACAGCGCUUUAUCACCCUUUCCAAGAGACUCUUAGUGAUGACCGGGGCAGGAAUCUCCACUGAGUCGGGGAUCCCAGACUACAGGUCAGAAAAGGUGGGACUUUAUGCCCGCACGGACCGGAGGCCCAUCCAGCAUGGGGAUUUUGUACGGAUCGCUCAAAUCCGCCAGCGGUACUGGGCGAGAAACUUUGUGGGCUGGCCUCAGUUCUCCUCCCACCAGCCUAACCCUGCACACUGGGCUUUGAGCAACUGGGAGAGACUCGGAAAGCUGUACUGGUUGGUGACCCAAAAUGUGGAUGCCUUGCACACCAAGGCGGGGAGUCAGCGCCUGACAGAACUCCACGGAUGCAUGCACAGGGUCCUCUGCUUGGGCUGCGGCGAGCAGACUCCCCGAGGGGCGCUGCAAGAGCGGUUUGAAGUCCUGAACCCCACCUGGAGCGCUGAGGCCCAUGGCCUGGCUCCGGACGGUGACGUCUUUCUCACUGAGGAGCAGGUACAGAGCUUCCGGGUCCCGCCCUGCUCUCGAUGUGGGGGCCCCCUGAAACCAGACGUCGUCUUCUUCGGGGACACGGUGAACCCUGACAAGGUUGAUUUUGUGCACAGGCGGGUAAAAGAAGCCGACUCCCUCCUGGUGGUGGGAUCGUCCUUGCAGGUAUACUCGGGCUACAGGUUCAUCCUCACUGCCCAGGAGAAGAAGCUGCCAAUCGCAAUACUGAACAUCGGGCCCACGCGGUCGGACGACUUGGCAUGUCUGAAACUGGAUUCUCGUUGCGGAGAGCUGCUGCCUUUAAUAGACCCACGCUGACCACAGCCUGAUAUUCCGGACCCGGAAACUGGGACUUUCAGUUGAAUUCUGCUGAUAAUGAUCCCUAAGGAUUCAUCCCUGCUUCCUCUAACUGAUCCAGGCUUACCAACUGUCGCCUGCAGAGGGCAGCAAACCGACAUCUCUCUGCCAGCCCAUCUCUGAACCCCACAGCUUUCAGAGCCCAGGAAUUAAAAUCCUCCGGCUAAUGAGAUUUGCCCCUGAAGAGGACUUUUUCAAAGCCGCAGCUUCUUUUGUUAGGAAAACUUCUUUCUCUCCCUUUUUAUCUCAUCAGGCAGAAGAAAUAGCCCAGGAAAUAUGUACCUCCAGAGUACUAACCUAGGGAUCUCACUAAUGUGGGUAAGGGGGGAAGGAAACGACUUAAUUUAUAAUUCUGAAUGCUUAAAUGUCUUUAACUGAACCAUUCUGAUAUAUUUUUUGAAAAGACGAACAAUGAUAUGAAUGAAUUUUUUAUAAACCAAGGAAUAGAGGAAGCAUUUUUUUAAAUAGCACAUUAGGUAUGUGGGCUGUACUUUUAUAUUUUUUAAUCAGCUAAAAGUGAAUGUGGCUUUAUGACACGGUUCUCUAAGGAUUUCUGCUUGAUUUCAGCUGCCAGAAUGAGACUGGCCUUGAACCUGGUCUGCAGAGAGGAAACAGUGAAUUCCCAAGUGGGUUCUUAAAUUGAUUUGUUUCUGCUGAGGGAAGCAGCAAGACUUGUUUGAUUACUGUGUUAGCCAGAGAGAAUCACUGUCGCAGGCUAAAGCUUUCUGCAUGAUCUCAUCAAAAAGCGAAGCAGAUGAAAGAAUCACAGCCUAUUCUGGGUAGUCUUUUGUCUAAAAUCAGGGCAAGCAAUACAUGUUCAUCCUGCAUCUGUCUAGGAAGCAAAUUUCAGUUGACUGGGAUAACCCAAGAUCUUGAAAACACAGAGUUCUUUUCACCUGCACAGCUGUAGGUUCGCUCACAGCCAUUCAUUAAUUCUGGAGAGGCGUAAGGCUGUGGUAAAUCUCACUCCAGCUUUUUUGCAGAUAGAGAUGCUAAGAUGCUCUGAACCAGAUUUGCUCAGUUACCCACAGUCAGUACCACCAAUAAUUGCAUUCAAAUCUGGGUCUUUUGAAUCCCAAGCCAUUCUCAUCCACAAAUCUCAUAAACGGUUACUGACCAACACUGUAUUUAGGUACUAAGGCUACAAAGAUACAACCUCUUGCUCUCAAGUGGCUCACAGAGGAUGUGUUAUUUCCCCUACCCUCAUGCUUUACCAGAAUAUGCCACAGAGUCAUGCACGGAAUGACAGGAGAGAAAAUUUAGUCCAUCCCCCCUUCAUUUUAUUUUUGAGGAAACUAAGAUCCACACUUACCUAAGGCCACAGUGUGUUGUUUCAGAGCCAGGACGAGAAUCUGAGUAGGUCUUCCUCCCAGUUCUUUUAGACAGCAACGCUUCCUACUUGUCUGAAGAUUAUAGUUAGAAGGAAGUCAGCCUGAAGUAGAAGUAGAAGCCAACAGUACACCCGGCCAGGAAUGGUUAAAAUGUGGGCAGUGGAGAGCAGGUUAGGCUGCGAGGGAGGGAAGGCAGGCUCUUUCAUCACCUAAUGCUGGCACGAUUUAUGAAACCGAGUCUUGAGGGCCUUAGGAAUGUUUGUUUUGUUCAUAUUUCCUCCUGAGAUGGAAUUCUUUGCAAAAAGUUUGUCUCAAGAGGAACUUGGUAUUUCCUGAAGCUGAUGCUUCUCAGGUCUCCUUACUUUACAUCUUUUGCUCUCCACCAGCACAGCAGUCCCCAACCCGCUGUAAGUGCCCUUGGUUGGAAUAACAGACUUCUACUAGCGGGUGCUAUCAGCUUUCACUGCCCUGGUUACAUGGUUGUAACUGCAUAAGCCCAGCUUUGGCUGUGACUCUCAGUCAUAUCCUUCCUUGUUGCUUCCACAACUGCUCAGCUAUCACAGUUUUAGUAAGUACAAGUCAUGAAGGCAAACAAGUACAGAAUACUCGAAUCUCCUUCCCACUAACUCAUAUUCCUUCUUUCAUGCUGUCAUAAAUUGACUAUCCUCUCAGUUCUCCCUUAAAUAACAGCAUUUGUUGGGACUUCCCUGGUGGUCCAGUGGUUAAGACUCCGUGCUUCCACAGCAGGGGGCACGGGUUUGAUCACUGGUCGGGGAACUAAGAUUCCAUGUGCUAUGUGGUGCAGCCAAAAAAUAAAUAAGAAGAAAUAAAAUAAUAGCAUUUGUUGAACACACUACAUCCCAAGCAUUGUGCAAAGUAUUUUACAACAUGUCAGCUCACUUAAUGAGUUAAUCCCACAUGAGAUGCUUGGACAUGCAUAAAGGUCAGUCUUCAGUGAAUGCCAAACGUUUCCUGAGAGGAUCAAAGUCAGGACGGAUAGGAAAUCCGACACUCCUAGGUAGGGUGACCAGCCAUCCCAGAUUGCCCAGUACUGAGGGGUUUUCCUGAUGUAGGACUUGCAGUGCUAAAACAAAGAUGAGUUGGUCACCUUGCUCUGAGGAAUAGCAAAGGUUGCCACCAGCUAUAAUAGUUAAUUCCAGAUAUAUUAUUCUUGUUGAGAUUCAAGAUGGUGCUCUGAGAUCCAGAUUGUUUCCGUAAUUUCUAUGUCACAAAAGAGAUCAAUUCCACUUAAUGAAGAAAAAAAAAUUAAACUCAUCCAAGAAAGCAGAGUGUUUUUUUUUCUUCUUGAUUUAUUAGAAAAGGAAUAUAG